GGGCAAGGAAGGUCAGCUAAAAGCGCCACGUCCUGUGGCAACACUGACACUCAGUCGUCCUGACUA
rfam:Brevibacillus brevis NBRC 100599 DNA, complete genome.